AGUAAGGUGUUUGUGCACGCUAUGUUUUGGUUAUAGAGGGUGACUUGUAGUCUACU
rnacentral:tRNA from 1 species